rnacentral:rRNA from 1 species
AGAGUUUGAUCCUGGCUCAGGAUGAACGCUAGCGGCAGGCUUAACACAUGCAAGUCGAGGGGCAGCACGGGUAGCAAUACUUGGUGGCGACCGGCGCACGGGUGAGUAACGCGUAUGCAACCUACCCAUAACAGGGGGAUAGCUUCCGGAAACGGAAAUUAAUACCCCAUGGUACCACAAGGCCGCAUGGCCCAAUGGUUAAAACUCCGGUGGUUAUGGAUGGGCAUGCGUGCCAUUAGCUAGUUGGCGGGGUAACGGCCCACCAAGGCAACGAUGGCUAGGGGGUCUAAAAGGAUGAUCCCCCACACUGGUACUGAGACACGGACCAGACUCCUACGGGAGGCAGCAGUGAGGAAUAUUGGUCAAUGGGCGGGAACUCUGAACCAGCCAUCCCGCGUGCAGGAUGACGGCCCUAUGGGUUGUAAACUGCUUUUAUACACCAAGAAAAAUCCCCACGUGUGGGGACCCGACGGUAGUGUAUGAAUAAGCAUCGGCUAACUCCGUGCCAGCAGCCGCGGUAAUACGGAGGAUGCAAGCGUUAUCCGGAUUCAUUGGGUUUAAAGGGUGCGUAGGCGGCUUUUUAAGUCAGUGGUGAAAUCCUGCCGCUUAACGGUAGAAUUGCCAUUGAUACUGAAAAGCUUGAGUACAUUUGAGGUAAGCGGAAUGUGUAGUGUAGCGGUGAAAUGCUUAGAUAUUACACAGAACACCAAUUGCGAAGGCAGCUUACUAAACUGAUACUGACGCUGAUGCACGAAAGCGUGGGGAGCGAACAGGAUUAGAUACCCUGGUAGUCCACGCCGUAAACGAUGCUCACUCGCUGUUUGCGAUACAUUGCCAGUGACUGAGCGAAAGCAUUAAGUACUCCACCUGGGGAGUACGAUCGCAAGGUUGAAACUCAAAGGAAUUGACGGGGGCCCGCACAAGCGGAGGAACAUGUGGUUUAAUUCGAUGAUACGCGAGGAACCUUACCUGGGCUUAAAUGUAGGCUGCAUUCGGCUGAAAGGCUGAUUCCCUUCGGGGCUGCUUACAAGGUGCUGCAUGGUUGUCGUCAGCUCGUGCCGUGAGGUGUCGGGUUAAGUCCCAUAACGAGCGCAACCCUUAUCGUUAGUUGCCAGCGGGUCAAGCCGGGGACUCUAGCGAGACUGCCACCGUAAGGUGAGAGGAAGGUGGGGAUGACGUCAAAUCAGCACGGCCCUUAUGUCCAGGGCUACACACGUGUUACAAUGGCCAAUACAAAGGGCAGCUACCGGGUGACCGGAUGCUAAUCUCUAAAGUUGGUCUCAGUUCGGAUCGAAGUCUGCAACCCGACUUCGUGAAGCUGGAUUCGCUAGUAAUCGCAUAUCAGCCAUGAUGCGGUGAAUACGUUCCCGGGCCUUGUACACACCGCCCGUCAAACAAUGGAAGCUGGGGGUACCUGAAGUCUGUAACCGCAAGGAGCGGCCUAGGGUAAAACUAGUAACUGGUGUUAAGUCGUAACAAGGUAACC